AGCGUACACGGUGGAUGCCCUGGCAGUCAGAGGCGAUGAAGGACGUGCUAAUCUGCGAAAAGCGUCGGUAAGGUGAUAUGAACCGUUAUAACCGGCGAUGUCCGAAUGGGGAAACCCAGUGCAAUUCGUUGCACUAUCGUUAACUGAAUACAUAGGUUAACGAGGCGAACCGGGGGAACUGAAACAUCUAAGUACCCCGAGGAAAAGAAAUCAACCGAGAUUCCCCCAGUAGCGGCGAGCGAACGGGGAGCAGCCCAGAGUCUGAAUCAGCUUGUGUGUUAGUGGAACGGUCUGGAAAGUCCGACGGUACAGGGUGAUAGUCCCGUACACCAAAAUGCACAGGUUGUGAACUCGAAGAGUAGGGCGGGACACGUGGUAUCCUGUCUGAAUAUGGGGGGACCAUCCUCCAAGGCUAAAUACUCCUGACUGACCGAUAGUGAACCAGUACCGUGAGGGAAAGGCGAAAAGAACCCCGGCGAGGGGAGUGAAAAAGAACCUGAAACCGUGUACGUACAAGCAGUGGGAGCACCUUCGGGUGUGACUGCGUACCUUUUGUAUAAUGGGUCAGCGACUUAUAUUCUGUAGCAAGGUUAACCGUAUAGGGGAGCCGCAGGGAAACCGAGUCUUAACUGGGCGUUAAGUUGCAGGGUAUAGACCCGAAACCCGGUGAUCUAGCCAUGGGCAGGUUGAAGGUUGGGUAACACUAACUGGAGGACCGAACCGACUAAUGUUGAAAAAUUAGCGGAUGACUUGUGGCUGGGGGUGAAAGGCCAAUCAAACCGGGAGAUAGCUGGUUCUCCCCGAAAGCUAUUUAGGUAGCGCCUCGUGAACUCAUCUUCGGGGGUAGAGCACUGUUUCGGCUAGGGGGUCAUCCCGACUUACCAACCCGAUGCAAACUACGAAUACCGAAGAAUGUUAUCACGGGAGACACACGGCGGGUGCUAACGUCCGUCGUGAAGAGGGAAACAACCCAGACCGCCAGCUAAGGUCCCAAAGUCAUGGUUAAGUGGGAAACGAUGUGGGAAGGCACAGACAGCCAGGAUGUUGGCUUAGAAGCAGCCAUCAUUUAAAGAAAGCGUAAUAGCUCACUGGUCGAGUCGGCCUGCGCGGAAGAUGUAACGGGGCUAAACCAUGCACCGAAGCUGCGGCAGCGACACUAUGUGUUGUUGGGUAGGGGAGCGUUCUGUAAGCCUGCGAAGGUGUGCUGUGAGGCAUGCUGGAGGUAUCAGAAGUGCGAAUGCUGACAUAAGUAACGAUAAAGCGGGUGAAAAGCCCGCUCGCCGGAAGACCAAGGGUUCCUGUCCAACGUUAAUCGGGGCAGGGUGAGUCGACCCCUAAGGCGAGGCCGAAAGGCGUAGUCGAUGGGAAACAGGUUAAUAUUCCUGUACUUGGUGUUACUGCGAAGGGGGGACGGAGAAGGCUAUGUUAGCCGGGCGACGGUUGUCCCGGUUUAAGCAUGUAGGCUGGUUAUCCAGGCAAAUCCGGAUAAUCAAGGCUGAGGUGUGAUGACGAGGCACUACGGUGCUGAAGUAACAAAUGCCCUGCUUCCAGGAAAAGCCUCUAAGCAUCAGGUAACAUCAAAUCGUACCCCAAACCGACACAGGUGGUCAGGUAGAGAAUACCAAGGCGCUUGAGAGAACUCGGGUGAAGGAACUAGGCAAAAUGGUGCCGUAACUUCGGGAGAAGGCACGCUGGUGUGUAGGUGAAGUCCCUGCGGAUGGAGCUGAGACCAGUCGAAGAUACCAGCUGGCUGCAACUGUUUAUUAAAAACACAGCACUGUGCAAACACGAAAGUGGACGUAUACGGUGUGACGCCUGCCCGGUGCCGGAAGGUUAAUUGAUGGGGUUAUCCGUAAGGAGAAGCUCUUGAUCGAAGCCCCGGUAAACGGCGGCCGUAACUAUAACGGUCCUAAGGUAGCGAAAUUCCUUGUCGGGUAAGUUCCGACCUGCACGAAUGGCGUAAUGAUGGCCAGGCUGUCUCCACCCGAGACUCAGUGAAAUUGAACUCGCUGUGAAGAUGCAGUGUACCCGCGGCAAGACGGAAAGACCCCGUGAACCUUUACUAUAGCUUGACACUGAACAUUGAGCCUUGAUGUGUAGGAUAGGUGGGAGGCUUUGAAGCGUGGACGCCAGUCUGCGUGGAGCCAACCUUGAAAUACCACCCUUUAAUGUUUGAUGUUCUAACGUUGGCCCCUUACCGGGGUUGCGGACAGUGUCUGGUGGGUAGUUUGACUGGGGCGGUCUCCUCCCAAAGCGUAACGGAGGAGCACGAAGGUUAGCUAAUCCUGGUCGGACAUCAGGAGGUUAGUGCAAUGGCAUAAGCUAGCUUGACUGCGAGCGUGACGGCGCGAGCAGGUGCGAAAGCAGGUCAUAGUGAUCCGGUGGUUCUGAAUGGAAGGGCCAUCGCUCAACGGAUAAAAGGUACUCCGGGGAUAACAGGCUGAUACCGCCCAAGAGUUCAUAUCGACGGCGGUGUUUGGCACCUCGAUGUCGGCUCAUCACAUCCUGGGGCUGAAGUAGGUCCCAAGGGUAUGGCUGUUCGCCAUUUAAAGUGGUACGCGAGCUGGGUUUAGAACGUCGUGAGACAGUUCGGUCCCUAUCUGCCGUGGGCGCUGGAGAAUUGAGGGGGGCUGCUCCUAGUACGAGAGGACCGGAGUGGACGCAUCACUGGUGUUCGGGUUGUCAUGCCAAUGGCACUGCCCGGUAGCUAAAUGCGGAAGAGAUAAGUGCUGAAAGCAUCUAAGCACGAAACUUGCCCCGAGAUGAGUUCU
rnacentral:rRNA from 1 species